AUGCCCCGUAUGCGCACCGAAUCGAGUGGACACCGAGAAAUAGAGAUCGAGCAUCAUCAUUCUCGAGGAGAAAAAGGAGAUCGAGCAGUGCGCGAACCACCCCCAUGGUCGGCCACCCGCAGCGCCUGUCCUCUCCACAAAUACACCACACUAGCCCCCUCCCCUCUUUCGCCAUUACCCAGAGCUCGCAGGUACUUAGAUCCAUCCACCAUGGCCGGCAGCAAGACAUUGCUCCUCCUCCUGUGCGCGGCGGCUGCGGCUGCGAUGCUGAGCCCGGCUUCCGCGGCGGACGACCUGACCAAGUUCAAGGUGUACUUCCACGACGUGCUAGCGGGGAAGAGCCCGACGGCGAUCCGGAUUGCGCAGGCGGCGUCCACCAACAGCUCCUCGACCUUCUUCGGCGCGGUGGUGGCCAUCGACGACCCGCUCACCACCGGCCCCGCCGUCACGGGCUCCGCCAAAUCCAAGGACGAGGUGGGCCGCGCGCAGGGGAGCUACACGUUCGCCGACCAGGCCACCUUCGGGCUCCUCAUGAACAUGAACUUCGUGUUCACCGCCGGGGACUACAAGGGCAGCAGCCUGACCAUCUACGGCCGCAACGAGGUGCUUUCGGCGGUCAGGGAGAUGAGCAUCAUCGGGGGCACGGGCAAGUUCCGGAUGGCUCGCGGCUACGUCGAAGCGAGCACCGUGGACUCCGGCGCCAAGUCCGGCGAGACCGUUGUCGAGUACACUAUCCACGUCAAGGCUGCUGCGGCGUAG
rnacentral:rRNA from 1 species